rnacentral:rRNA from 1 species
AUGGCGAGUGCUGACUCAUCCACGUCUAGGGUUGAUGGGCGGAAGACUAAGGAGCAGGAGGAAGGGAAGGCGAAGGCGAAGGGAGACUGGGGGUCGGAAGGGCCGAGCGAUGGCGAUAAGGUGUCACAGGAGGACUCGUUGAACGACAAGCUCAAGUACAUGAAUCUCAGGGAAGACGAGGAGGAAGAUGUGGUACUGGAGGAAGAUAUGGAAGAGUUGGAGAAGGAUGCUGAAUUCAUGGCGCUGGCUAGGGUUCAUACCAAUAAAAAGUUUCAUGGGGCCUUUUAUGGCAAUAUGAGGUCGGCGUGGAACUUGGCACAGGAAGUAGAGUUUAGGGCCAUCGAGGACAAUCUGUUUUCGGUUCAGAUGAGUUGCUUGGGAGAUUGGGAGAGGGUGAUGAACGAAGGACCAUGGAUUUUCAGGAACUGCCCUGUUCUGCUGGCUCCAUACGAUGGGUGGUCGGAUGUGAACGAGGUUGACCUAUAUACUUACCAGGCGCGGAUGAGGGUGAUGGGGUUAAAGGAGAAAAUGAGGUCUGCGAGUAUUGCUAGGCAACUAGCGAAGAAGGCAGGGGAAGUGGAGCGAGUGGAUGAGCGAUCUGUCAAGGGGCAAGGUGGAGGAAUUAGGGUGAGACUCAUUUUGGAUGUGCGGAAACCUCUAACAAGAUGUGUGAGUCUUACGCUAAGGCAGAAGAAGGUGUAUUUUGAGUUUGAAUAUGAGAAGAUGCCGGUGUUUUGA